rnacentral:rRNA from 1 species
GAGUAAUGCGUAGGAAGCUGCCCGAUAGAGGGGGAUACCAGUUGGAAACGACUGUUAAUACCGCAUAAUGUCUACGGACCAAAGUGUGGGACCUUCGGGCCACAUGCUAUCGGAUGCGCCUACGUGGGAUUAGCUAGUUGGUGAGGUAAUGGCUCACCAAGGCGACGAUCUCUAGCUGGUUUGAGAGGAUGAUCAGCCACACUGGAACUGAGACACGGUCCAGACUCCUACGGGAGGCAGCAGUGGGGAAUAUUGGACAAUGGGCGCAAGCCUGAUCCAGCCAUGCCGCGUGUGUGAAGAAGGCCUUCGGGUUGUAAAGCACUUUCAGCGAGGAGGAAGGGUGGUGUGUUAAUAGCACAUCAUCUUGACGUUACUCGCAGAAGAAGCACCGGCUAACUCUGUGCCAGCAGCCGCGGUAAUACAGAGGGUGCAAGCGUUAAUCGGAAUUACUGGGCGUAAAGCGCACGUAGGCGGUUUUUUAAGUCAGAUGUGAAAGCCCCGGGCUCAACCUGGGAAUUGCAUUUGAAACUGGGAAACUAGA